GUAUCCCUCCGCCACUGCUAAUUCUGCGACUCCUGCGAUUACUGCGACUUACCAUCGUACGAAAAAGUUAAAUCUGUCCACACAAAAAUUGCAUCCGAACAAACCUGUCAUUGGCAAGUACCCGAACUACAUUUCAGUCAAUCAGUAAAGUGAUAACUCAAAAUAUCAUUUGCAACAGAUCUGGAGAAAUUGCCACGCGUCUUUAGACCGUUUUCGUCAGACGAGAGACACUGUGAUUACUGGUUGCUGUACGUAUCUGUCCACAUUAAGGUUGUUGCGAGAGACUCGUGAAGGUUCAAGACAGCCCUUAGAGGAUUUGCAGUUUAAAAGUGACAUAAUUGUGAAAUAAGUGUGCAGACGAGUGAUUAAACUGUGUUUUAUUGAAGUUGUACGAUUUUAAAGGAAUAAUAAAUGUUAAAUACAGUGAGU